UGAGGAAUAUUGGUCAAUGUCGGGAGACUGAACCAGCCAAGCCGCGUGAGGGAUGAAGGUACAGAGUAUCGUAAACCUCUUUUGUCAGGGAACAAAGGCGGGGACGCGUCCCCGGAUGAGUAUACCUGAAGAAAAAGCAUCGGCUAACUCCGUGCC
rnacentral:rRNA from 1 species